GGCAGAGUUCCGUGGUAGAGCGCAUGCUUAGCAUGCAUGAGGUCCUGGGUUCAAUCCCCAGUACUGCCG
rnacentral:tRNA from 1 species